rnacentral:lncRNA from 1 species
UCAACCAUAUUAACUUUUUGUCCCCAAGACCCUCCAAACAUUGUCAAAUCAUAGUACUCCAUAUCUUGAUAACCCUCUUUAGUAUAAGCAAACCAAGUAUUGUAAACAUUUUGGGCUUCUGAGUCACGUAUCUCCCAUGCAACAAUUUCCAAUAUUAGUCCGCGCGGCACUUCUCCAAGCGGUUUAAUACGGAGGCCAUUCAGAUUGAAAACCCCCGAAUGACCUGCACUAUGCAGUUUGGUUGUGUCGGCUACCCAGCGUGAGCGUGCUUUAUGACCAACCCGGACGGCGGCGCUGAAUAGCGCAUUUGGCUGGGAGGAAGCACAAUCUGCGUCGUGGAUUGAGAUAGAGCCUAGAGAUGCCGCUGCGAUGGUGUUUACGGUAGUAAACCCGCUGAAAGAUUGCUCCGUUUAGAUAUCACUACGAGGUACUUAUCCUGCCCUCAUCUGGAACCAGGAUUCGAGUUAGAUAUUAACCCCAGAACGAUCUGACUAGGUAAAUUAUCGUAUUUCAAACCAAGGUACCAGACCGAAGAAAUAAGUC